GAGAGUGGAACAACACAGACCAGCAACUAAGGUCCCCAAGAGUAUACUAAGUUGAUCUAACGAUGUUUUGCUGCAGAGACAGCUAGGAUGUUAGCUUGGAAGCAGCUAUUCAUUCAAAGAGUGCGUAACAGCUCACUAGUCGAGCGGCAAAGCGUGGAUAAUAAACGGGCAUCAAGUAUACCACCGAAGUUCUGGGCACGAAAGUGCGGUAGGGGAGCAUUCCAUUCCGCGUUGAAGCCGAACCGUGAGGUUUGGUGGAGUGUAUGGAAAAGCAAAUGUAGGCAUGAGUAACGAUAAUGCGGGAGAGUAACCCGCACACCGCAAGACCAAGGUUUCCUGAUCAACGCUAAUCGGAUCAGGGUUAGUCGGGUCCUAAGGGUAAGCCGAACGGCGAUCUCGAUGGAUAAUCGGUUAAUAUUCCGAUACUAACAUAUACCUCGAUGGAGAGACGAAGGAACGUAAGUGCCGCCACCUGACGGAAUAGGUGGUUAAAGGGCUUAGGUAUAGGGGCAGAUUAAGAGUUAGUCCUUGCUGAAACCUGACAGUACAGAGAGCCUACGGGCAAUUUGAUAGAGCACCCAAGUCGACUUCCGAGAAAAUCUUCUAAGUUAUAGUAUAUGUUACCCGUACCGUAAACCGACACAGGUGGUCGAGGAGAGUAUCCUAAGGUGCUCGAGUGAAUCACGGUUAAGGAACUAGGCAAAUUAACCCCGUAACUUCGGGAAAAGGGGUCCCUAUGAAAGUAGGGCGCAGCGAAGAGGUCCAGGCGACUGUUUAUCAAAAACACAGGGCUCUGCAAAUUCGAAAGAAGACGUAUAGGGCCUGACACCUGCCCGGUGCUGGAAGGUUAAGAGGGGAUGUCAUCGCAAGAGAAGCAUUGAAUCGAAGCCCCAGUAAACGGCGGCCGUAACUAUAACGGUCCUAAGGUAGCGAAAUUCCUUGUCGGGUAAGUUCCGACCUGCACGAAUGGUGUAACGAUCUGGACACUGUCUCAACCGUGAGCUCGGUGAAAUUGUAGUCCCGGUGAUGAUGCCGGGUACCCGCAACGGGACGAAAAGACCCCGUGAACCUUUACUAUAGCUUAACGCUGAAUUUGGGUACACAAUGUGUAGGAUAGGCAGGAGACUACGAAGCGGGCACGCCAGUGUUCGUGGAGUCGACGUUGAAAUACUGCCCUUUGUGUACUUGAGUUCUAACCCUCGAGAGGGGGACGGUAUCGAUAAGCUUGAU
rnacentral:rRNA from 1 species